AAACUGACUACAGUUGCAAUCUGCUACUUUACUUCUGACAGGUUAGGUGCCAGUGUUACCAACAUGAAACAACGUGUCAACAAUUACGAAGAUCCAACAUGAGAAUAACAUCUUACUAAUAUCCAAAUAUGUUAUAAUUGUAAAGGUAAACAUAUAUAAAACUUAACAGUAACAAAGGAAUACAUCUUGAUGCAACAAUGGAAAUGCUUUAUGAAAAAUAAGACGGAACAAUGUUGAGACGGGUGUAUUUAUUACCAUAAUAAGCUGAAAUACAAAAUUGUAUAUAUAUUCUUUACUGUCCUAAUAAUAAAUGUAUUAUUUUACAUAGAAA